UACAGAGGGUGCGAGCGUUAAUCGGAAUUACUGGGCGUAAAGCGCACGUAGGCGGCUUGGUAUGUCGGGUGUGAAAUCCCCCGGGCUCAACCUGGGAACUGCAUCCGAAACUGCCUUGCUAGAGUAUGGGAGAGGGAAGUGGAAUUUCCGGUGUAGCGGUGAAAUGCGCAGAUAUCAGGAGGAACACCGGUGGCGAAGGCGGGUCUCUGGGCCGAUACUGACGCUGAGGAGCGAAAGCGUGGGGAGCGAACAGG
rnacentral:rRNA from 1 species